AGUGAACGCUGGCGGUAGGCCUAGCACAUGCAAGUCGAACGGCAGCACAGUAAGAGCUUGCUCUUACGGGUGGCGAGUGGCGGACGGGUGAGGAAUACAUCGGAAUCUACUUUUUCGUGGGGGAUAACGUAGGGAAACUUACGCUAAUACCGCAUACGACCUACGGGUGGAAGCAGGGGAUCUUCGGACCUUGCGCGAUUGAAUGAGCCGAUGUCGGAUUAGCUAGUUGGCGGGGUAAAGGCCCACCAAGGCGACGAUCCGUAGCUGGUCUGAGAGGAUGAUCAGCCACACUGGAACUGAGACACGGUCCAGACUCCUACGGGAGGCAGCAGUGGGGAAUAUUGGACAAUGGGCGCAAGCCUGAUCCAGCCAUACCGCGUGGGUGAAGAAGGCCUUCGGGUUGUAAAGCCCUUUUGUUGGGAAAGAAAAGCAGCAGGUUAAUACCCCGCUGUUCUGACGGUACCCAAAGAAUAAGCACCGGCUAACUUCGU
rnacentral:rRNA from 1 species